rnacentral:misc_RNA from 1 species
UGGCUUAUGUGGAAGGGUGC